GGCUCGCAGUCAAAAUGAACAUUUGCUCAGUGGAUUCAUGACUAGCCUGUUUCAUCAGACGCCAUAUAUGCUGAGGUUAACCAAACUCGUGAGCAAGCAUAUACUUCAAACAAGAUGAGCAAACGACACACACAGCCAGCCACACCCGUGCACUCCUGAUUCAUGGAACCAAGAGGACAAGAAGAGCUCACCUCCAUGGAAUCUGGACACAGGGCCCAGCCCAUCUUCCUGGUCAAGAGUUAAGCAGUUGAACAGAAACAGAGAAGCAGCAGGUUUGGGGCUUCUGAGGCCAAUCCAAAGGAAGCAGGAGAUGGAGAGAAAGAAGAGGGAAAGAAGAAGAGAGGCAGACAAAGAGAAAGAGACAGAGACAGAGAGAGACAGACAAACAGAGAUACAGAGAGACCGAACCAGACAGAGAUGGAGAGCGAGGCGAGCCCGGGCGACAACAGGGCUGGGGAGCUUUCCU
rnacentral:lncRNA from 1 species